rnacentral:rRNA from 1 species
UACGGAGGAUGCGAGCGUUAAUCGGAAUCACUGGGCGUAAAGCGCGCGUAGGCGGCUUUUCAAGUCAGGGGUGAAAUCCCACGGCCCAACCGUGGAACUGCCUUUGAAACUGUAGAGCUUGAGUGUCGGAGAGGGUGGCGGAAUUCCAGGUGUAGGAGUGAAAUCCGUAGAUAUCUGGAGGAACACCGGUGGCGAAGGCGGCCACCUGGACGACAACUGACGCUGAGGUGCGAAAGCGUGGGUAGCAAACAGG